rnacentral:lncRNA from 1 species
AGGCAUCUCUUGUCUUCUUCCAGAAACCAUGACACUAUGGCAGGCCAACUUACUAGCUUUCAAGUAAGGUAACAUCUCAGACCAUCAUAGGUUUUGACAGGGGAAACUCUGAAGGACCACAGGAGUUGGAGGUUCCACGUAUCUCUAAGUAGUAACAUACGAUGGGUCCAAAACAGAAGAAAGAGAACUCAAGAUUCCCGAGCCACAGAGCUGUUGAUUGGAGGCUGACUCAGAGAAACCCUGGAUUCAGUGACAUACAGAGACAACAGGUACAGGAUCAGUAUGGGUUUUAAUUGAGGGGCUCGGCACCAAAUGACAGACUUGACACAUCCACCCCCACCAUGGAUGCUGUCCGUCCACUGUUGCACAAUGUCCUUCAGUGUCUAAUUUACAGAUCCAGCUGUAUUUCCCCUUCCACCUGCAUCCCUGAAGUUCCUCCCACCUGAAAACUUCACCUGACCCAAGAAAGCAAAGGAAAAAACCCGGAGAGCCAGCUCAUAGUCUGGUUCACUGUUUAACAGCCAGAAGCCAGAGCCUGCGUACUAGAAGUGGAUGCCCAGGAAGUACUUGUGAGCUGACUAAGAAUGUAAGAACGCCACCCACUUCAUUCAGGAAAGUGAGGCAGGAUUCCAUGGAGUAUGAAUGACUGCACAUGGAACAAGCAGGUUAUCAUUUAUAUUCAGCAAGGGACCUCCAUGAACAGGACAUUUGGGGAGCUGCUAUCAAACAUCAGAACUUCUGACACUGUGCACACAGUCUUAUAUUGUGCCUUGUCUGUUGUGAUGUCUCACUACAGUAAUGAUUAAGAUGAUGAGCACUUAUGCGUUGAUAUUGCAAUAUGUCUGCGUAAGAACUAUCGCUAAGGCAGGUUAUAUUAUUACCCUCAGUGUAUAGGUAAGGAGGUUAGACUGAUAACUUACCCAGUGUCACAUAGGUAGUAAUGGCCAAACUAGAGUUGGAACCUGUCUGCCUACUCUCCAAGCUCAGGAUUGACUUGAGCACAAGGGUAAGUAUCUCACAUGCUUUGUAAAGUUCAGGUUGAUAACAAAAUAUGUGAAAGGCAGGGGUAUAGACAACAGGGGGCAUAUGAAAUACGGGAAGGGCCUAAAGAAAUUCAAGUCUAUUAUUUUUAAUCCACUGCUGUCAAAUGACAAAUGAUUACUGGCUUUUCUUCAGCUUAUGAUUCCUGUAUUUGAAUCCUGAAAAACUUACAUUUCAUAUAUUACCAACUAUUAUGGGGAAAACUAUCACAUGGGAAUAAAACUCCAGUGCCCUAAGGAUUUGUUUAACGCUAGAUAAAUCUUAUGAGUUUG